GACGAACGCUGGCGGCGUGCCUAAUACAUGCAAGUCGAACGCUUCUUUUUCCACCGGAGCUUGCUCCACCGGAAAAAGAGGAGUGGCGAACGGGUGAGUAACACGUGGGUAACCUGCCCAUCAGAAGGGGAUAACACUUGGAAACAGGUGCUAAUACCGUAUAACAAUCAAAACCGCAUGGUUUGGAUUUUAAAGGCGCUUUCGGGUGUCGCUGAUGGAUGGACCCGCGGUGCAUUAGCUAGUUGGUGAGGUAACGGCUCACCAAGGCCAAGAUGCAUAGCCGACCUGAGAGGGUGAUCGGCCACAUUGGGACUGAGACACGGCCCAAACUCCUACGGGAGGCAGCAGUAGGGAAUCUUCGGCAAUGGACGAAAGUCUGACCGAGCAACGCCGCGUGAGUGAAGAAGGUUUUCGGAUCGUAAAACUCUGUUGUUAGAGAAGAACAAGGAUGAGAGUAACUGUUCAUCCCUUGACGGUAUCUAACCAGAAAGCCACGGCUAACUACGUGCCAGCCGCCGCGGUAA
rnacentral:rRNA from 1 species